rnacentral:pre_miRNA from 1 species
AGCCUUCUGUAUCCGUGCUGAGAUUUCGUCACACACCACACCCCAACAAGGCUGAUGAGACUCUCAAGAUAAGUGAAGCG